GACGAACGCUGGCGGCGUGCUUAACACAUGCAAGUCGAACGAUGAAGCCUAGCUUGCUAGGUGGAUUAGUGGCGAACGGGUGAGUAAUACGUGAGUAACCUACCUUUAACUCUGGGAUAAGCCUGGGAAACUGGGUCUAAUACCGGAUACGACCAAUCUCCGCAUGGGGUGUUAGUGGAAAGCGUUAUGUAGUGGUUAUAGAUGGGCUCACGGCCUAUCAGCUUGUUGGUGAGGUAACGGCUCACCAAGGCGACGACGGGUAGCCGGCCUGAGAGGGUGACCGGCCACACUGGGACUGAGACACGGCCCAGACUCCUACGGGAGGCAGCAGUGGGGAAUAUUGCACAAUGGGCGCAAGCCUGAUGCAGCGACGCCGCGUGAGGGAUGACGGCCUUCGGGUUGUAAACCUCUGUUAGCAGGGAAGAAGAGAGAUUGACGGUACCUGCAGAGAAAGCGCCGGCUAACUACGUGCCAGCAGCCGCGGUAAUACGUAGGGCGCGAGCGUUGUCCGGAAUUAUUGGGCGUAAAGAGCUUGUAGGCGGUUUGUCGCGUCUGCUGUGAAGGCCGGAGCUUAACUCCGUGUAUUGCAGUGGGUACGGGCAGACUAGAGUGCAGUAGGGGAGACUGGAAUUCCUGGUGUAGCGGUGGAAUGCGCAGAUAUCAGGAGGAACACCGAUGGCGAAGGCAGGUCUCUGGGCUGUAACUGACGCUGAGAAGCGAAAGCAUGGGGAGCGAACAGGAUUAGAUACCCUGGUAGUCCAUGCCGUAAACGUUGGGCACUAGGUGUGGGGGACAUUCCACGUUUUCCGCGCCGUAGCUAACGCAUUAAGUGCCCCGCCUGGGGAGUACGGCCGCAAGGCUAAAACUCAAAGAAAUUGACGGGGGCCCGCACAGGCGGCGGAGCAUGCGGAUUAAUUCGAUGCAACGCGAAGAACCUUACCAAGGCUUGACAUAUACUGGACUGCAUCAGAGAUGGUGUUUCCCUUCGGGGCUGGUAUACAGGUGGUGCAUGGUUGUCGUCAGCUCGUGUCGUGAGAUGUUGGGUUAAGUCCUGCAACGAGCGCAACCCUCGUUCUAUGUUGCCAGCACGUUAUGGUGGGGACUCAUAGGAGACUGCCGGGGUCAACUCGGAGGAAGGUGGGGAUGACGUCAAAUCAUCAUGCCCCUUAUGUCUUGGGCUUCACGCAUGCUACAAUGGCCGGUACAGAGGGUUGCGAUACUGUGAGGUGGAGCUAAUCCCUAAAAGCCGGUCUCAGUUCGGAUUGGGGUCUGCAACUCGACCCCAUGAAGUCGGAGUCGCUAGUAAUCGCAGAUCAGCAACGCUGCGGUGAAUACGUUCCCGGGCCU
rnacentral:rRNA from 1 species